GGGAGCCAAGGCGCCUUAAGAGCCCGCCUUUCUCAAACAAAUAAAGGUGGUAGCAGCCGAGUCAGCGGGCGGAGCUAACUUGACCGCGACUCAUGCUGUCGCGGGAACACCGGAGGUGGAGCCCCACGUAGCAAGAAGAUGACCCGAAGUUGCUCGGCAGUGGGCUGCAGCACCCGAGACACCGUACUGAGCCGGGAGCGCGGCCUCUCUUUCCACCAAUUUCCAACUGAUACCAUACAGCGCUCAAAAUGGAUCAGGGCUGUUAAUCGUAUGGACCCGAGAAGCAAAAAGAUUUGGAUCCCAGGACCAGGUGCUAUGCUAUGUUCCAAACAUUUUCAAGAAAGUGACUUUGAGUCAUAUGGCAUAAGAAGAAAGCUGAAAAAAGGAGCUGUGCCUUCUGUUUCUCUAUACAAGGUUCUCCAAGGUGUACACCUUAAAGGUAAAGCAAGACAGAAAAUCCUAAAAGAGCCACUUCCUGAUAAUUCUCAAGAGGUUGCUACUGAAGACCAUAACUACAGUUUAAAGAGACCUCUGACAAUAGGAGCAGAGAAACUAGCUGAGGUGCAGCAGAUGCUACAAGUGUCCAAAAAAAGACUUGCUUCUGCGAAAAACUACAGGAUGAUCAAGAAGAGAAAAGGCUUACGACUAAUUGAUGCGCUUAUAGAAGAGAAGCUACUUACAGAGGAAACAGAAUGUCUGCUACGAGCACAAUUUUCUGAUUUUAAGUGGGAGUUGUAUAACUGGAGAGAAACAGCUGAGUACUCCGCAGAAAUGAAGCAGUUUGCAUGUACACUCUACUUGUGCGGUAGCAAAGUCUAUGAUUAUGUAAGAAAGAUUCUUAAGCUGCCUCAUUCUUCCAUCCUCAGAACGGCCUCUGGAUAUUUGCAAGCUCAGCUGCUUCGUCUGACGAUUGGCAAGCUAAGUGACAUAGGGAUCACAGUGCUGGCUGUCACAUCUGAUGCCUCAGCUCACAGUGUUCAGAUGGCAAGGGCACUGGGGAUACAUCUUGACGGAGACAACAUGAAGUGUACAUUUCAGCAUCCUUCAUCAUCCAGCCAACAGAUUGCCUACUUCUUUGAUUCUUGCCACUUGCUUAAAUUAAUAAGAAAUGCAUUUCAGAAUUUCCAAAGCAUUCAGUUUAUCAACGGCACAGCACAUUGGCAGCACCUUGUGGAGUUAGCAGCACUAGAGGAACAGGAAUUAUCACAUAUGGAGAGAAUCCCAAGAAGACUUGCAAAUCUGAAGAACCACAUACUGAAAACGAAUUGUGCCAGCCAGGUCUUCAGUGAGAGUGUGGUCAGGGCAUUAGAAUGUUUGCUAUCACUGGGCCUGCCUCCUUUUCAGAACUGUGUUGGUACCAUCCACUUCUUACGCUUAAUUAACAAUCUGUUUGACAUUCUUAAUAGUAGGAACUUUUAUGGAAAGGGAUUUAAAGGACCUCUAUUACCUGAAACUUUUAAUAAAAUCAACCAUGUGUUAACUGAAGCCAAGACUAUUUUUGUUACAUUAUCUGACACUGGCAAUAAUCAAAUCCUUAAAGGUAAGCGAAAACUGGGAUUCCUGGGAUUUUUGCUUAAUGCUGAGAGCUUAAAAUGGCUCUACCAAAAUUAUGUUUUCCCCAAAGUCAUGCCUUUCCCCUAUCUCCUGAUGUACAAAUUCAGUCAGGAUCAUCUGGAAUUAUUUCUAAAGAUGCUCAGACAGGUAUCAGUAACCACUUCUAACCCCACCUGCAUGGCAUUCCAGAAAGCUUACCAUAACUUGGAGACCAGACACAGAUUACAAGAUGAGGUCUUUCUAAGUGAAGUAAGCAGCCUUGACAUUUCAAUUGCUCGAAGGACAGACCUGGCCCUCGGCACAGUUCAGCGUGAGUAUGGUGUCAGCGUUAUAGAGAGUCUUUUUUACAAAGAGGAUAUUUGCCCAGACUGGUCUGACUGUUUGCUAAGUGAGGCAUUACUAGAUCUGUCAGUUCGUAGGCGAAAUCUCACCUCCUACGCUGGUUAUAUUGCCAAUAAGUUAUCAGCUCUUUUAACAUGUGAGGACUGCCUCAGUGCGUUGUAUGCAUCGGAUCUCAAAGCCUCUAAAAUUGGAUCCCUGUUAUGUGUUAAAAAGGAGAAUGGUGUGCAUUUCCCUUCUGAAAGUUUGUGCCGAGUCAUAAAUACUUGUGAGCGAGUUGUGAGAACCCAUUCAAAGCCGACAGUUCAUGAACCACUGCUUCCCAAACAGAGGGAAUUUUACCUUCAACAGAAAAUAUUAUAUGAGCUUUCUGGGCAUAUUUAUCUUUUUGUAGAGUUAGAUGAGCAUCUCUUUGAUGGAGAAGUAUGUGCCAUCAAUCACUUUGUAAAGUUGCUAAAGGAUAUCAUAAUCUGUUUCUUAAAGAUCAGAGCUAAAGAUAUAACUCAGUACUCCUUAAAACACCACUCAGAAAGAAUUGAGCUGAAAACUUUGUCAAGGAAACACUGGUCAUCUUCACAGAAUUACAGAUGUUCAAGUUUUGCAAAUACCAAUAAAUGCAGGCAUUUGCUAAGGAACAAUAGAUAACUAUUCAAAUGAAGGACCUAAAAUAUAUUAACAUUUUUAUUAAAAAUAAUUGGUCAACAUUUAUUUUAAAAUUCAACUGACAAUAUUUUACAAAUUCUGCACAGUGGACAAGUUUGUGUUUAUGUCUUAGGAAUUUCUAUUAUGUACGUUAUCAAAUCUGCAUGGAAUUUGGUAGGGCUUACAAGCAUUUCAGAGUUACCUAAAAUGUAGAAAGCGGGAAGUCAGUAAGAAUAGACUAGCCAAUGGGUGCUGUGUUUGAAUUUACCACUAUCCAACUGAGUAAUUCAACUGGACAUACUUUAAAAACAAGUGAGAAUGGCAGAAACGAGCACAAUAUUGUAAAACAGUUAUCCUCCAAUAAAAUUUUUAAAAAGUGAGAAUAAUGACAAAGGAGUCUCUAAAACAUUGACUCCUUUUAUAAAGACUACAUUCACAGAAAGAGAUUUGGUCUACAACUCUUAAGAAUAACACUUAAAAAAAAAAAAAAAGACUGUUAACAGAAUACCCAUCAAACUGUGAAUAUAGUUUACUUACACAUGAAAAUUAGGCCAAGUUAAAUACCAAACACUACAAAAAUCCUUUUGCUGGGGUACCUUUAAAUAGAAAUAAUUAAACUAUUAGGCAGAAGGUAAACACAUGAGCCAUGAAAUGGACACUCCUUGUGCUACAACCAAGCUCGAAAAUGUUGUCUGGGGAGUAUGCAGGUGAUGUAAUUUUCACAGCCCAUUUGUCUGGACUUCACACUACUACCUUUAAUAAGAGUGGACACUUGACUCCUACUGGAGGAGCACAGUGCUCAUCAGAGAAUGAAAAGAAGCCUUUAUUUCAACUUCUUCUGAAGAGGAUAAUAAUGAAACGUUUUCAGUUUGGCAUAAUGGUGUUUCAUAUCAUAUGAUAAACAAAUUGGGGAAAAAAUGGUCAGUUGGUAGAGUAUGAAAAAGUUUGUCUUAACCACAUAAUGAGAUUUUUCAGAAAUUUGGGAGAAGCUUAAAUAAUCUGAAGAUGGAAACAUACUAAGAACAAUUUUCUCCGUUCUGUCAUAUCCAGAUCUGAAAAGGUCUCGAGGACUGAAUUAACAAUACAAUAAUUGUCAAGCUAUUUCC